GGGUCAUGAGGAUGGUCGUGCCACCGGUACGUACUGGUCUCACUGAUUCCUCCUUCCUGAAGAACCGUAAUGCCAUUAAUUUGGUGUUGCGGGGAAACAGGACUGUUACUUUGAAAAAAUUAGAGUGUUUAAAGCAAGCUAACGCUUGAAUACAUUAGCAUGGAAUAAUGAAAUAGGACGAUCGAUCCUAUUUUGUUGGUUUCUAGGAUUGACGUA
rnacentral:rRNA from 1 species